GUAAUCGCAGAUCAGAAUGCUGCGGUGAAUACGUUCCCGGGUCUUGUACACACCGCCCGUCACACCAUGGGAGUUGGAAAUGCCCGAAGUCGGUGACCUAACCGUAAGGAAGGAGCAGCCGAAGGCAGGUCGGAUGACUGGGGUGAAGUCGUAACAAGGUAAC
rnacentral:rRNA from 1 species